GAAUGACUCUCGGCAACGGAUAUCUCGGCUCUUGCAUCGAUGAAGAACGUAGCGAAAUGCGAUACUUGGCGUGAAUUGCAGAAUCCCGUGAACCAUCGAGUCUUUGAACGCAAGUUGCGCCCGAAGCCAUUAGGCCGAGGGCACGCCUGCCUGGGUGUCACAC
rnacentral:rRNA from 1 species